rnacentral:rRNA from 1 species
AGAGUUUGAUCCUGGCUCAGGAUGAACGCUGGCGGCGUGCCUAACACAUGCAAGUCGAGCGAAGCAUACAGGAGGAAGUUUUCGGAUGGAAUCCUGCAUGACUGAGCGGCGGACGGGUGAGUAACGCGUGGGUAACCUGCCUUAUACAGGGGGAUAACAGUUAGAAAUGACUGCUAAUACCGCAUAAGCGCACAGUACCGCAUGGUAGUGUGUGAAAAACUCCGGUGGUAUAAGAUGGACCCGCGUCUGAUUAGCCAGUUGGCGGGGUAACGGCCCACCAAAGCGACGAUCAGUAGCCGACCUGAGAGGGUGACCGGCCACAUUGGGACUGAGACACGGCCCAAACUCCUACGGGAGGCAGCAGUGGGGAAUAUUGCACAAUGGGGGAAACCCUGAUGCAGCAACGCCGCGUGAGUGAAGAAGUAUUUCGGUAUGUAAAGCUCUAUCAGCAGGGAAGAAGAUGACGGUACCUGAUUAAGAAGCCCCGGCUAACUACGUGCCAGCAGCCGCGGUAAUACGUAGGGGGCAAGCGUUAUCCGGAUUUACUGGGUGUAAAGGGAGCGCAGACGGCAGUGCAAGUCUGGAGUGAAAGCCCGGGGCCCAACCCCGGAACUGCUCUGGAAACUGUGCGGCUAGAGUACUGGAGGGGCAGGCGGAAUUCCUAGUGUAGCGGUGAAAUGCGUAGAUAUUAGGAGGAACACCAGUGGCGAAGGCGGCCUGCUGGACAGUAACUGACGUUGAGGCUCGAAAGCGUGGGGAGCACAACAGAAGUAGAUACCCUGGUAGUCCACCCCGUAAACGAUGAAUGCUAGGUGUCGGGGAGCAAAGCUUCCCGGUGCCGCCGCAAACGCAUUAAGCAUUCCACCUGGGGAGUACGUUCGCAAGAAUGAAACUCAAAGGAAUUGACGGGGACCCGCACAAGCGGUGGAGCAUGUGGUUUAAUUCGAAGCAACGCGAAGAACCUUACCAAGUCUCGACAUCCUUCUGAAAGGCCCGUAACGGGGCCCGGCCUUCGGGACAGAAGAGACAGGUGGUGCAUGGUUGUCGUCAGCUCGUGUCGUGAGAUGUUGGGUUAAGUCCCGCAACGAGCGCAACCCCUAUCCCCAGUAGCCAGCAGUAAGAUGGGCACUCUGUGGAGACUGCCAGGGAGAACCUGGAGGAAGGCGGGGAUGACGUCAAAUCAUCAUGCCCCUUAUGAUUUGGGCUACACACGUGCUACAAUGGCGUAAACAGAGGGAGGCGAAGGAGCGAUCCGGAGCGAACCCCAGAAAUAACGUCCCAGUUCGGAUUGCAGGCUGCAACCCGCCUGCAUGAAGCCGGAAUCGCUAGUAAUCGCGGAUCAGGAUGCCGCGGUGAAUACGUUAACCGGGUCUUGCACUCACCGCCCGUCA